rnacentral:rRNA from 1 species
GUAGGGGGCAAGCGUUAUCCGGAUUUACUGGGUGUAAAGGGAGCGCAGACGGCACUGCAAGUCUGAAGUGAAAGCCCGGGGCUCAACCCCGGGACUGCUUUGGAAACUGUAGAGCUAGAGUGCUGGAGAGGCAAGCGGAAUUCCUAGUGUAGCGGUGAAAUGCGUAGAUAUUAGGAAGAACACCAGUGGCGAAGGCGGCUUGCUGGACAGUAACUGACGUUCAGGCUCGAAAGCGUGGGGAGCAAACAGGAUUAGAUACCCUGGUAGUCCACGCUGUAAACGAUGAAUACUAGGUGUUGGUGGGCAAAGCCCAUCGGUGCCGCCGCAAACGCAAUAAGUAUUCCACCUGGGGAGU